GGGCGGCGGGAAGAGCCUCGAAAUCGGGCCAGCUGCCUCCAGAUGUCCUCGCAGGCGGUCCGGCCGUAACUGGUUCUUUCCGGCGCGGUCUGCGCAGGACCGUGCGCACUCGGCUCCCAUUGACCAGCGAGGCCUCCCGACCAAUAGUAACCUAAGGCGCCUGCGACUCGGUCGUCGCAGCGACAGCACACUCCAAGGGUGUCCGACACGGUGUUAACCUAGAGGCGCUACCGCGAGCGAACGCCCCAGCACCCAGCUACCAGCUAUCAGCUGUGAUACUCCCCUUCGGCGGCUCGGCCCUCGCCAACUGGACCAAGCGAGCAUCGGCGUACGAGCUUUCGGCACUGGCACGCGAUUUGCGCACCGAGGGCGUCCUUACGCGAGACCACCCCCCAGAGGACGAGGAGGUCCAGGUCGAGGAAGAAGACUCGGGACCAGGCGCAGGGGCCUCCAGGGUGCAGGAAUAGGGCGCGGCCCCGCCAUGCCGUCAGGUAUCGGGGCUUCGUACAGGUCGCUCGGCGACCUGGGCGAAGACGUCUACAAAAGCACGACCAUCGUCGACCAGACCCAGACCACGGGGCAGAGCGUCCUGGAGAGCGUGAAGAAGGCCUUCAGCUUCGCCGCCCCGAAGGUGGAGCUCCGGAAGAAGGACCCUCUGAUCGAUGACCGAAGAGAGAGCGUCUCGAUCGUCUCAAGGGACAGAAACAAGAUGCCGACCGCUGCCACCGCCGAGGAGUCAGCUCUGUUGGGCACGAUGCCUUCGGACAGCAUGGACGACAUCGAGCUGAAGAACAUCCAGCUGCAGUUCCCGGCUCUGCGAUAUCUGACGAGAGAUGACGGAUCCGUUCGGGAGGAGAGGGUCGAGACCGACAAGGGAAGCCUGCUGGUCGCUCGGCAAGGAAAUCGCGCAAGACCUGCCAUUCUCACCUAUCACGACUUAGGCCUUAACUAUGUAUCGAGUUUCCAAGCGUUCUUCAAUUACAUCGACAUGCGCGUCCUCCUGGAGAACUUUUGCGUGUACCACGUGAACGCGCCCGGUCAAGAGGAGAACGCGCCGACGUUACCGGAAGAUUACGUGUAUCCGUCCAUGGACGAGCUCUCGGAGCAGCUGCUCUUCGUCCUGGGUCAUUUUGGGUUGACGUCGGUAAUCGGGUUCGGGGUCGGCGCCGGGGCCAACAUCCUCGCGAGAUUCGCCCUGGCCCAUCCCGAGAAGGUGAACGCCCUGUGCCUGAUUAACUGCGUCUCGACGCAAGCUGGAUGGAUCGAGUGGGGAUACCAGAAGCUGAACGUUCGCCAUCUUCGGUCCCAGGGGAUGACGCAGGGGGUGCUGGACUACCUCAUGUGGCACCACUUCGGCAGGGGUACCGAGGAGAGGAACCACGACCUGGUCCAGGUGUACAAGAACUACUUCGAGCGUCGGGUGAACCCGACGAACUUGGCUCUCUUCAUCGACAGCUACGUCCGGCGAACCGACCUCAACAUCACGAGAGAGCUGGACCCAACGCGCAAGAGGGAAGGGUUAACGUUAGGGGUACCCGUGAUGAACAUCACCGGGGCCUUGAGUCCCCACGUCGAGGACACUGUCACGUUAAACGGGAGACUGGACCCCACCAACAGCUCCUGGAUGAAGAUCUCCGAUUGCGGCAUGGUGCUGGAAGAGCAGCCGGGAAAAGUGAGCGAGGCCUUCCGACUGUUCCUCCAGGGUGAAGGAUAUGUGGUGAGAUCCACGCGGAAGCCCGUCACGCCAACAACACCCGAAGGUAAUUGUAAUUAGGAAUUGAAGCCUCAGGGAGUCGAGCGCGCUGUCGGUCGAUUAGGCCCCGUCUAAGUGUUCAUGGCACCCCUCUCGCCGUUGAAGAUGGCGGACUACAGGUUGGCGUCCCUGGAGGGCCUGAACCACAUCUGCGCCAAGAGAAUCGACUGGCCCGGAGCCACCAUACACAUCACCGAGAAUCCCAUAUCAGAGGCCG
rnacentral:misc_RNA from 1 species